rnacentral:lncRNA from 1 species
UGGGUAUGUCUUGACUAACUGAGAGCAGACUAAUACACUCAGUCUCUUGAAAAAUAAAACCAAGUUUCUGGGAUGAGUAAAUUAGUAGAAUGAAUAUAAUUUAUUAAGAUAGUAUAUUCAAAAGAUGAACAGUUUUGCAGUAUGGAGUGGGGAAGGUUGAUGGAAGUCUCCAAAAUGAAACCACUGAUAAAUUUGAUAUGCCUGUGAGACAAGGUAAAGAUAUCACAGAGUGUAGGAUCUAUAACUCUCAUGUUAAAAACUGUAGCCUGGUAGGAAAUAUAAAUUUGGUGGUCAGGGAACAAUAUAUAAUGAAUAUGAGUUAAAGAGAUCAUCUGUGCCUGUUGGCAAAAAUGUAGAGGGAAAAAGUAAGGACUCAAGAAAGAGUCUAGUAGAGGAAAAGAAGCUGGAAAAGGUGACAGAGAAAAACAGAGGAGUAGGGAGUGGUGUUAAAAAUUUAAGCUGGAAGCAAUAUACAUGGCAACGACAACAUAACAAUAAGAGUGGCGAUCUGAGUGUUGUAAAACACAUUCUAAAGAUACUUACAUUGUUCAGUCUAUAUAAACAUGGAUUAACAUUAGAUACAAUUAGGCUAAGAAUGCAUGUUGAAGUAACUAGAUAACUAAAUAAUUUAUAGUUUAAAACACUCAAAUUAGAAAAAAGGAAAAAAUAAAGUACUAAGUGUUCAACUCAGGAAGUUAGGAAAAAGGCAUAAUAAGCCUGAAGUAAAAGGAAGGAAAAUAAAGAGAAUAGCAGAAACUAGUAAAAGGAAAUAGAAACUAUUCUAGAAAGAGUUCCUAGAGGAUGAGGCAUGGGGGGAACAAACCCAGACACUCAGCAUAGAUCAUACUUACUGCAUUAGUUUUAAGAUGUGAAGCAAGAAAGCAACCUUGCUAUCACCAAUUCUAAUCAUAUGGUUCUGAAGGUACUAAUCAGAGCAGUGUGAAAAGUUACAAGAAUUCAUCAGAAAGAAAAAAACUAAACUGUUGCUAUUCACAGAUGCUAUGACCACAGAGAAAUGCAAUGUAUUAAUUAGCAUUAAGAAGAAUUUACUAAGUUUUCUAAAUUUAAAAUUAAUAUAAAUCAUGGAAUUUAUCUACAUCAGAAACAGAAAAAACAACUAAAAACCCAAAUGUAUCUCAUUGCCAAAUAAUACAUUAUUAAUUAUAGAUUUUAGUUUGUUGUAUUCUGAAUUUUCUUAAAAUACUUUUCAGUAUGCAAACUGAAAAUAUUAGAUUUGACUUGUAUAUUCCGAGACAGAGACAGAGAGAGAGAGAGAGAGAGAGAGAGAGAGAUAGGUGGUGAAGAGGCAAAUUGCUUUCCUUGUGCACACUAGUCAGAAAUCUUUAUUUGGUAAGAAUUUGUUGAAGAAUUUGCAUAUGCUAGUUCAGCUAUAAAAUAAUCUUUCUAACAUCUGGUUAUCUCAUACUCCCAUCUAGUGGAAAGCAGCAAGUUAUCCUACUACAGCAUGUUCUUUACUUUUACUCUUUGGUUAACAAAAACAAUGUAAUUAUUUAUAAAACUAUCACACUGCUUUUGGUUCAAGUUUAAAAUUAUACCUUCCUGAGGGGGGAAGAAGGUGGAGUGGGAAUUUAGUUCUUAAUAUAGCUAAAUAGAUCCUUAUAUGGCUGUGAGCUACAGCAUGCAUCCCAAUAAUUAGCAAAGUGGUAUCUUAAAGGAUCGAGGCCGUAUAAUAAACACUGGACUUUGGAAAUUUUUACAAUCUAUGUUCUACACCAGUACAACAUGAAUACCACAAAAUAAGGGUCAGAUUUUAGAAUCUGAAAGAUAAAUAAUAAAAGAUACAAGUGAAAUAAAGCCUGAUGAUUUCUGAAGCAUGAAUAAACUAUGGUGAGCUGUGGCUUGGUUAAAAAAGUUAUAUUUACUGUGAAAGUGUUAAAUAUAAAGAGUUAAAUUUACUAAUUAUAGAAGAACCAGCUCUGUAUUUUUUUAAAUUAUUAUUUGUCUUGACAAUUAGAAGAAUUCACAAUCUCAGGAAGCCUCUGCUUUUCUAUCAAUGCCUUUAACCACCCAACAUACCUUUGUUAAUAAGUGAGUAAAAUCAGGUUAAAACAACAUACCAAUAACGCUAGUGGUAAGAAAAAAGAAAUACCUAAGAAGUCAUACUAUGCCAUAUAAUUUUCAGUUUCCUAAGUAGAGAAAACCUAUGAUUGAUUUGUUAUAAUUUUAAAAAUCAUGACUAUAUUAAAAGCCUCAUCUGCAUCCUCCAAUGUGGUGAAUUGUGGUGACAGAGUCCUUGGUAAGAAUGUGACCCAAGAAGGGUGGGAUGGCUCUUCAACUAGAGCUGUCAUCAUUAAAACAGUUGGGAUGACCACAUCCCUUCCAGAAGCCUUACACUGGAGCUCCAUUUCUACAAGGAGAAGAGCCAGCUACAAACUACUCUGCAAGAAAACAUACUAUAAAAUCAGCACCAGGUGCCAGGAGCUAUCUAUUGUGGAAAUCUGUGCUAUUACCACUUACCUAGUUUUAGGUUUUAAAAAUAUUUUUCUUAGAGUUCUAAUCUACAGUGUUUUAUAUUUGAGUCUCCCACAUUUAAACUAAAACAUUUUACUUUUAGAAAUACCUAUAAAAACUUUCAAAGUCAUUUGGAAGCAAUCCAAUACAUUUAUUAAAAGAAAAACCUUGUUGUGGAAUUGGAGAAGAAAAGGAUGCCACUGUGAUCUUGUUAUCCAAGAGCGGCCUGAGAAUAAGUGGGACGUUUAUCACAUAUUCAAUUUCAGCCUAAACUAACCCAGAUUCUACCCUUAAGAAAAUGAAGAACUUUAAAAACGUGGUUUUAUACAAACCUAAAACAAAAACACAAACAGAGUAUGGGUGAGCACAAUACCCAUGUGCAAGGGGCUGUUUGCACGGUGUGUGGAUUAUCUUUCAUCAGAUGAUCCAUAAGUAACUUCUGAUGAUAUAUAUAGAUUUAAACAGCUUGUUUAUUUAUUUGUGCUAUACUGAGUUGAUAGUUUUAAGAGAGUAUAUAAAUCAGUUCCCAUAUUUAACACAGUUUUCAAACCUCUAAAUUUUCUAAACUGUCCUAUUGAGCAGUUCUCUCUCCAGAUUCUCCAUAGGAUGUUAAGAAAAGUUCUAUGGGGAAAAAAAGGGAAGGGGAUUCAGAAUUAAGUUAGUUUAAAAGUCUUUUUCAUGAUUCUUUUAAAAAGGUGCAAAGGUGGAUUGGCAGAUUGGGAAGCUCUAAGGUGUGGGGAUGGAGGAGGGUUAUUUGUAUAAAAAGUUGUUUGUACAAAAAGAAUUUAGCACCAUUAACACAUAUAUAUGCAAACAUUAAUAUGUAUGGAGGAAAGGGAGGAGCGAGGGGGAGGGAAGGAGUGAGAGAGAGAGAAAGAGCGAGCCUGGGAGAGCGAAUGCAAGAACAAAACUACCAAAAGUAUUGCCUCAGACAAAUAAACAUAUUUACAUUUUCAAGCUGAAAAAAAUCAAGAAACUAUCCUUUAUUCUCCCAAAAGAAAUUUUUUUGUAUCACUAUUUGUAAAACUUACUAUUUUUCCAAGGCAAGCAGUAGAAACUAGAGUGCUUUGACAUGCUGCCAGCAUUCACAGUGAUUUAAAAGCACGGCCAUGGCAUUGCUACAAACCAUAAUUUAAAAGGGUUGGAAGCUGCCCUUUUGUAACAGGGAUAUACAUAUAUGGAUUUAAGUGUGGGCCUCUGUGACAGAAUUCAACACAAGUAUUAAUCCAUUUAUGGUAGGGAAUUUUUAGUUUUCACCCAGCUCUAAAUCAAUCAGAAAUUCUGAACAGAUGUAUGUUAUAAUCAAGUAACGCAUUUUUAAUAAAAUGCAACUGUUUUAUUAGGAGACUUUAACAAAGGUAAAGCAAAACAAUAAUUCUGUUACUUAAUAUGAUAAAUGACAUGGUUGCAAUUAUAUUAAUUAUACCUUCAAUGUGAAAUAACUGGCUAUAAACUCCUGGAAACCUUGGGUCUGUGUCAUACAUUUCAAUAAACACUCUUUAUCUCUAUAUAUUACUUGAAAGCAUUCCCAGCAGAUAGUGUUUCUUAUUGGGUCAUUAUUAGGCUUCCUGAACCUUUUAUUUUCCUCUACUGUUGUAAUCAUGGGCACACUGAAAAAGGAGAGAGCUCACAGUAAAAGUACACCUUUGUCCACAAGGAUGUCUGUGUCACAACAAUCACACUUCAGAGGCGACAGCCUGGUGCAGUUCAAAGUUCACUGGCCCUGAGAGUGAAAAAUGUGCAUUCUAAUAUCUACUCUGCCAUGGAGAAAGGUUUUGGAAAACUCUGAGUUCAAAUUCAGCUCUGCCAUCUAUAAGCCAUAACUUUAGUAAGUUAUUUAACUUUCCUACGUCUUUGAUUUCUCAUACAUAAUAAAAUAAAUAUUAGGAGGAUUAGGUACAAUCAGGUACAUACAGUGCUGUGGUAAGCAGAAUGUUAACAUGGCCCCUAUGACUUCUGUCCCCUGGUGUUACUUUCAUGAUUAUGUUACUUUUAUAUGGCAAAUGGGAGAUUUUCCAGGCGUGCCUACUCUAAUCAUGUGAGCCCUUAAAAAGCAAUGAAUUUUCUCUGGCUCGCAGCAGAAGAGGAAGUUGGAGGCAUGUGAGGUGCAGGAAGGAUUCUAAGCAGUGGUGCUGGCUUUGAAGAUGGAAGGCAUUGUACCUCAAUGAAUGUGACUGGUUUCUAGAAGCUGAGAGUAGCCAGCCCCCAGCUGACAGCCAACAAGGAAACAGGGACCUUGGUUCUCCAACCACAGAAAAUAGAUUCUACCAACAAGAAUGAGCUUGAAAGCAGAUUCUUCCCUCGCACUUAAAGUCUCCUGCAACUAUGGUGAUACACCUUGAUCCGGCAUCUUCCAUUCACCUCUCCAGAUUCAUUCUCCAUGCCUCAGUACUCUGUGCUAUUUCCCAGAAGGCUGAUCCUUAAGGACUACACCUGUGGGAUCCCUUGUCACUGGCAAUGGGACAAUGGGAGGUGCCAGCAGAAAAUCAGAGUGAUGAAGAAUGAGGUCUGGGUAUUUAUCUCCUGGCUUUCUGUAAGUAUACAAGGUGAUAAAAAGGAAAAUGAUUCCUAACAACUUGGGGGUAUGUGGAAGCAGGGGAAGGGGGUGCUGUGGGCUGAACUGUGUUUCCUCAAAGUCAUAUGCUGAAGCUCAAACUCCUAAUGUGACUGUAUUUGGAGCAGGGGCUUUUAAGAAGUAAAGUUAAAAGAUGUCACAAGGUGAACGUCACAAUCCAUUGGAAUAGGUGACCUUAUAAGAAAAGGGAGAGAGAUCUCUUCCUCUCCAGACACACACACACACACCCACACACACCAAGGAAAGGCCAUGUGAGCACGUGGUGAGAAGGCAGCCGUCUGUAAGCCAGGAAGAGAGACCUCACCAGAACUCAACCAUGUUGGCACCUGAUCUCGAACUUUCCAGCCUCUAGAACUGGAAGAAAGUACAUUUCUGUUUAAACUACCAGGUAUGUGAUAUUUUGUUAUGGCAGCCUGAAAAGACAUACAUGGGCAGGGAAGACUUCUCAGAGGUAUUUCUUGAGCUGAGACUUUUUGUUUCCUAGUGGUGGGAGGUAGGGUUUUCCAGGCAGAGAACACCAUGCAAUAAGGCACAAAAUUUCAGGGAAUAGUAUGUAUCAAGCACUUGGAUCAUAGAGUGCUUGGAAGGGAAGUGGAAGAGGCUGGAAAAGCAAGCAGAGGCCAGAUGUUAGGGUUUAAUGUCAAAGGCCAAGAAAUUUGCCUAAAAGAAGUCCAGUGGGAAACUACUGAGGGUUCUUAAGUCAUCUGAAGUAUGUAAUAGUAUCCAUGUUCAAAAGACCAUUCUUGUGAUUGUGUGAGAGGCCAGACUAAUAAAGAGGUAGAGAAUAAUUUAACUCUGAUUUUUGAAAUGUGCCCGAUGGAGCCCUCAGGGUCCUAAGUCAAGGAUCACCAUGAAGCUGGAGGAGGAGGCUAAGUGGGCAGGGUCAUGGGAUCCCAUGUCUACUUCACCCACAUAAGUUCUGUGGCCCUAGACUAGACCUGGAAUCUUUGUUACACUCAGGACAACUAGUCUAGAAUAUUUUACUUCAAAGACUGUACUGAAAGAGGCUACAUAGGGAGGUCAAAGGCACCUGCUUCAGCUCUUUUAGCUAUGGUGAAAAAGUCAGGGAAUUAUCAAGAAUUCUGAGAGAAAUGUGACUGGACCCAUGCCAGGAAGAUGUCAGAACUACUAAGAAAUACCAAUGGGGUGGACUGUUAUCAACCCCAGCUGAAUGACAGGCCAUAUGCAAAGUCCUAGACUAUUAUGGCUCUUAGAUUUUCAGACUACACCCAGUUGAUUAAAUGAGUCUGUGUGAUAAAUUGAAAUGUAAAAGGUUAUUUUCAUGCCAUGGAGAUCUGCUCUUGUCGGAUAUAUUUUCAUCUGAAAAUAUCGAUUAAAAUGAUUAAUAUAGACAUAACAAAAAUGACUAACUUGCUUUAGAGAAAAGAUGAUAUCUCUUAGGAAUGAGCUUUAAAAUCUCACGAGCGGUUUUUGGCAACUGCAUAGCAGAACUAAAAAGAAUGCAGGUUAAGUAUCUCUUACCCAAAAUGUUUCACAAGUAAAAUAAAACAGAAGUGUAUCAGAUUUCAAAUUUUUUUUAAAUUUUGGAAUAUCUGCAUAAACAAUGAGAUAUCUUGGGGAUAGGGCCCAAGUUUAAACAUAAAAUUAAUUUCUGUUUCAUAUACAGCUUAUGUACAUAAGCUGAUGGUAAUUUUAUACAUAUUUUAAAUAAUUUUGUACAAGACACAAAGGUUUGAAUGCAUUUUUGAAUGCAACCUGUCACACGGUCAGGUAUGUGAAAUUUUCCACUUGUGGCAUCGUGUUGACACUCAAGAAGUUUUGGUUUUGGAGCAUUUUGGAUUUUGGAUUUUAUGUAUUAUAAGAUUGUAAGGUAAAAACUAUGCCCAGGAGAGGGCAGUGCAGCCUUCUGUAAAGUUAACUAAUAGGCCCAAUAGAAAAUAGUGUGAGCAUUAAGAGCAGAGAUGUUCUAAUUCAUGAAAACUAUUUUGUGUUAAGUCACUUUACCUUUUUAAAACAUGAGAGACAUACUGCCACUUCUAUGUCCCUUGAAGAGACAGCACAAGGGAGAGCUGCUUAAGUCUUGUAAAAAAAAAUUCUGGAAAACUUUAGCUCCCUAAAACUGAAGAAUUGUAUCAAAACUGAAGAACUGUAUCAGUUCUAGCAGGUUUCUACUGACUUUCCUAUUUUAAACAAUUAUCUUUGUUUCUGAAAACUGAUUCAAUAAACUAGUUUUUAAAAGAGA